UACGGAGGUGGCAAGCGUUAUCCGGAUUUAUUGGGUGUAAAGGGCGUGUAGGCGGGAGCGCAAGUCAGAUGUGAAAACUCAGGGCUCAACCCUGAGCCUGCAUUUGAAACUGUGUUUCUUGAGUGCUGGAGAGGCAAUCGGAAUUCCGUGUGUAGCGGUGAAAUGCGUAGAUAUACGGAGGAACACCAGUGGCGAAGGCGGAUUGCUGGACAGUAACUGACGCUGAGGCGCGAAAGCGUGGGGAGCAAACAGG
rnacentral:rRNA from 1 species